AAUAGAUACCCCGGUAGUCCACGCCGUAAACGAUGAGUGCUAAGUGUUAGAGGGUUUCCGCCCUUUAGUGCUGAAGUUAACGCAUUAAGCACUCCGCCUGGGGAGUACGGCCGCAAGGCUGAAACUCAAAGGAAUUGACGGGGGGCCCGCACAAGCGGUGGAGCAUGUGGUUUAAUUCGAAGCAACGCGAAGAACCUUACCAGGUCUUGACAUCCUCUGACAACCCUAGAGAUAGGGCUUCUCCUUCGGGAGCAGAGUGACAGGUGGUGCAUGGUUGUCGUCAGCUCGUGUCGUGAGAUGUUGGGUUAAGUCCCGCAACGAGCGCAACCCUUGAUCUUAGUUGCCAUCAUUAAGUUGGGCACUCUAAGGUGACUGCCGGUGACAAACCGGAGGAAGGUGGGGAUGACGUCAAAUCAUCAUGCCCCUUAUGACCUGGGCUACACACGUGCUACAAUGGACGGUACAAAGAGCUGCAAGACCGCGAGGUGGAGCUAAUCUCAUAAAACCCGUUCUCAGUUCGGAUUGUAGG
rnacentral:rRNA from 1 species